ACUCAAUUAUUCUACAAUAGAACACUGGAGAGAAAGAGAUGCAGGUGGGGAGGAAGGAGGCAGGAAUAAUGGGAAUAGGUGGAAGAGAAGGCGGAAGAUGUAUUUAUCCGGAUACAAUCAAAGAACCAUUUCAGAGGAAAAAGGAGAAUUUUGGUCAGAACUGCCUCACGGUCUCAUAGUUUUGGUUUGCACUUCAGUGGUUAGAGAAGUCUGAACUCCUUUUGCUUUGGAAAGCUGGUGAGGCUAUAAUGACAAAGCAGCCAUCUGCACACCAGGAAGGGGCACUCACCAGACAUCAGAGCUGCCGGCACCUUCACCUUGGACAUCCCAGCCUCCAGAACUGUAAAAAAUAAAUGUUUGUUGUUUAAGCCA
rnacentral:lncRNA from 1 species